CCUACGGGAGGCAGCAGUGGGGAAUAUUGCACAAUGGGGGAAACCCUGAUGCAGCGACGCCGCGUGAGUGAAGAAGUAUUUCGUUACGUAAAGCUCUAUCAGCAGGGAAGAAACACUGACCUUACGGUCAGCAGACGGUACCUGCGUAAGAAUCACCGGCUAACUACGUGCCAGCAGCCGCGGUAAUACGGAGGUGGCAAGCGUUAUCCGGUUUUACUGGGGGUAAAGGGAGCGUAGACGGUGUGCCAAGUCUGGGGGGAAAUGCCGCAGCUUAACUGCGGAACUGCUUUGGACACUGGCGAACUAGAGUACGGGAGGGGUAAGCGGAAUUCGUGGUGUAGCGGUGAAAUGCGUAGAUAUUAGGAGGAACACCGGUGGCGAAGGCGGCUUACUGGACCGUAACUGACGUUGAGGCUCGAAAGCGUGGGGAGCAAACAGGAUUAGAUACCCCAGUAGUC
rnacentral:rRNA from 1 species